rnacentral:rRNA from 1 species
AUUGAACGCUGGCGGCAUGCCUUACACAUGCAAGUCGAACGGCAGCACGGGAGCAAUCCUGGUGGCGAGUGGCGAACGGGUGAGUAAAGUAUCGGAACGUGCCCAGUCGUGGGGGAUAACGUAGCGAAAGUUACGCUAAUACCGCAUACGAUCUAUGGAUGAAAGCGGGGGAUCGCAAGACCUCGCGCGAUUGGAGCGGCCGAUAUCAGAUUAGGUAGUUGGUGGGGUAAAGGCUCACCAAGCCGACGAUCUGUAGCUGGUCUGAGAGGACGACCAGCCACACUGGGACUGAGACACGGCCCAGACUCCUACGGGAGGCAGCAGUGGGGAAUUUUGGACAAUGGGCGAAAGCCUGAUCCAGCCAUGCCGCGUGCAGGAUGAAGGCCUUCGGGUUGUAAACUGCUUUUGUACGGAACGAAAAGGUUUGGCCUAAUAAGCUGAGCUCAUGACGGUGCCGUAAGAAUAAACACCGGCUAACUACGUGCCAGCAGCCGCCGUAA